GGUAAAAUUUGGUGUCAAUCUUGUAUCAGUCCUGACCUGGUUGGGAUUUUGUCAAUAUGGGUUCUGUUUUGUAUUAUUUAUGUUGGUUUUCUAGUUUGUGCACUGAACCUUUAUUUGUUGUUAUGCAGACUGAAGGAUUUAACUACUUGGAGGAGACGUGCCCCUCGCUACUUUCAGACCUGUUGGCAACUGUCGCUGAGGCAGAUGAUGAGCCCAGUCUGAUCUGCCGGAAGAGGAGCAGCAGCAGCAACAUAGGGCUUAAUUUAGCUGACAGUGUUGAUCUGAACGGGGGAAGGCGCACGCGGAGGCAGAUGUAACUUGCAACUGAUUAUAACCCUGUCCAUAGUCUUGUAAAUCUUGCUGCCUUUUGCACCACAAGACUCAUGUGACUGUUCUGAUAUGUACAUUUGUGUGACGCAGCAUUCCUGAUUAAAUUUGAUUUGGAUUUUAGUGACAUAUCAAUAAUUAGCCUAUCAUAAUUAAAUCGACAUAUAUGUUGGUGAAUCAAGCAAAACUUUUGAGUAUCUUAGUUCUUCUGUCUAUAAAUUUGUUGUCUGUUCAAUAUCUUUUCUUUGUUUAAUGCUGAGUUUUACAGAUUUAUUAUGGCUAUUUGCUGUUAGGGGUUACAAGCGUUUUUACAGAAGGACAGCAUUGGAAACAUCACAUUACCUUAAGGAUGAUUGUCUAGUCAUGCAUUGCACAGUGGGUGUUGUUAGAAAUCGCAUUGAAACAGCAAGGCAAUUUUCUAUUCCUGUGCCACCACCGGACAUGGGUAAGUGUCUUAAGGAGCUGUUGGAAUCUGGCAUGGGCUCUGACAUUGUUUUCGAGGUUGGUGAUGAGACAUUCAAAGCUCAUAAGAAGAUUCUUGCUGCUCGCUCGCCUGUAUUUAAUGCCCAAUUCUUUGGGCUAAUUGGGGAUCCAAAGAUGGAUAGAGUGGUUGUGGAAGAUGUUGAACCUCCUGUUUUCAAGGUAAUGUUCAUGCAGCUUUUGAUUUUACCAUUUAUAUUUGUGCAUGUAUAAAUAUAUUAUAUGACAGUAAGUUUGGCCUGUUUGCUAAAGGAAGAUUAUUUUUACUCAUUUUUACUGUAUGGAAAAUAUAUCUGCUAAGUUUUGUAAGAUACAUCUAAAAUUCUUUCUUUCUCCAAGCCGAGUCAUGAUUUGGAUGUAUUUUAUUAUCUGAAGAUUGUGUGAAAUGUCAUGUUAUGUUUAAUAAUCUUUGUGGAUUCUUAAGUACCCAUAACCAUCAUCCCACAUAUUUUAGGCUAACCCUUCUUCACCAUUGGUUUCUAUAGGUUCAACAUCCUUUGCAAUUUAGAUUAUUUGAAAAUCCUCCUCACAAUUUCUAGCCAGGUAUUCUUGUGUUGUUUCUUGGAUUAUCGACUCUUCCAAACUUAGAAUGACAGAAUGCCCCUCUCUUUCCCGAGGUGAUAAUAUUAGAAUAUAUUAUUGUAGCUUUUACUUAACGAUUUUUUUUCUAGAUUGUCGCCUUCUGGUAGGUGAUAUAGUUAGUUCAAAUUUGCUAAAGUGUCUCUAGACAUCCUGGAUCUAUAACAAUAAAUUAUUGUUAUAUUAUCUCAUUCUCAUUUUUUUUUAAUUUUCAAAAUUUGAGCGGACCAUAGGAGUUUAGAUGAUAUUAGAAUAUAUUAUUGUAGUUUUUAUUAAUGAUUUUUCUCAGGUUGUGGCCUUUUGGUUAGUGAUAUAGCUCGUUUAAAUGUGCUAAAAUGUCUCCGGACUACUGGAUCUGUGAAAAUAAAUUAUUGUUGUAUCAUGCCAUUCUCAUUUUUUUGCUAUCUUUUGAUCAUCAGUUUCAUCGUCAAUGCCUGGAGUUUCAUUGCAGCACGGACACGCCUAAUCAUAAUUCUAUCUUCUUUGAGAUUUGAUAAUAUGUUAAUUAGAGUUUGAACGAAAGUGCUGAUCUGAUCUAAAAAUCUAUUUGCAGUUUGGUAUAAUGGAGCCUUUGCCAGUCUUUAGUGCAUGUGCUUUUCUUUGUAUCAUCAUAGUGAGCUCUCAUAACAAACAUUUCAAACAAAUACUCCUCUGCUACAAUGUAUUAUCUGAACGAUGACAAUGAAGAUGAUCAAGCAUCUUCUUUUGUUUGACCUAUCUUCUUUUUCUUCGAAAUAGAACAUAUAUUCUAAUCUAUUGGAAAUUGUCCGAAUUAUUAUGGAAAACAUAUAAAAUUAGUUACUCAUAACAUAAUUUGGAGCUUAUUAAAAAAAUAAUGGCCUUAACAGAAGAUUUUAGCUGCACGCACACAUGUCCUCAUGUGCAUAUAUAUAGCUAGCAGGCACGCCAGGAGAUGUGUAUACUAAUUCCUCUUGUGACAAGUUCUUUGUUUGCUGCAGGCCAUGCUUCUAUUCAUAUACUCAGAUGGAUUUCCAGAUGUUCAUGAACUGACUGGAUCAGUUUCUCUGUGCACAUCCACAAUACUGGUGCAGCAUCUAUUGGCAGCAGCUGAUAGAUAUGGUCUAGAUCGAUUGAGGAAGUUAUGUGAAUCAAAGUUGUGUGAAGAACUGACUGCUGAUACUGUAGCAGCGACUCUGGCCCUUGCAGAGCAACACCAGUGUUCUCACUUAAAAUCCGUCUGCCUAAAAUUUACAGCUGCUCGAGAGAACUUGGGAGGUCAGUUUUAUCAUCUCUAGGUUGGGUGCAUUUUUUUCCAGUUUGCAAUGGUUCUAGCCGCACCCCCCCCCCCCCCCCCCCUCCGCGCGAAAAAGAAAAUACGUAUAAUUGUCUAAGAGUAUAGGUUUAUUUUUAUUUUAUUAUCUUCACACACACCUAUCACAUCGAGCAAUUUUGUAACAUGCCCUGGAUGUCUGCACUUAAUUUGUUUAUGAAAUCUGUGAAAGAAUUUUAAGAUUUCUGGUGACAAUAAUUGUUUUGCCAUGGGAAAUACUUAAGUUGUAUUUGUAUUUCUAUCACAUUGGCAUGGGCAUGGAACAAGUUUUAAUUUUGGGAAACUGUUUUAUUGGAUGGAUGGAUCUAUGUUGGUGCAAUAGGAUUAGAAAAUGCAUCAUGGAAUGUUCAUCCAUAUUACUCAGGGUUGUAGUUUAUUGGAUUAGUCUUAGGACCUCAAGUGAACAAGGAGUACUUUAGACUGCUGGAAAAUGUUUCCAAGUGAAGAUCACUAGGAAGUUAACUAAAAGAUCAAGUAGUUUGAAAAUGGUUAGGUGAAGGAUCCAAUUUAGAUGGGAAAGGUAGUUAACCACUCCUGGUGGAGGGUAUAGGCCUCUUGGUUAGUUUAUGUCUUAUGAAAAAGCAAAAAACACAAGAACUGGUAGAUUAUAAAUGUCAGUUAAAGGUGAAUCAGGAAGAUAUCGAAUUACAUUUUGGGAAAUGAUAUUAAAAAUUUGUUAUACUGCCCUUUUUUGUUGGUUUUCAUGAAAAUUUAAGAUAUAUCAGAUGCCAAUCUCACAUGGAUAAUCUAUGUGCUGAUUUUAUCUGUUAUCAUUGUUGAAGUCUAUCUUGUGAGUAAAGUCUGGCAUGUGCUCCUCUUUUGUUCAAAGAAUGUGCCUAGCAAAUCACCAUAGGAAACCAACCGUUCAGUCGUCAUGUUUAUUCUCUUCAAAUUGCAGCAAGUAGGGAUACUAGUGGAACAUAAAGAAGGCCUGUUUAGAAAUUAUGCGGACAGAGUUCGAUAAAGUUGGAUUAAUUGAAGAGGUGAUUAUGUUUUCCGUCUAUUAGGGAUCACAUCUAUACUCUACUACCACUCCAUCAGUUAAUUAUGAUGAGCACCCAUUUUAUACCAAAAGGAAAUGAAGAAGGGAAGGUAAAAAGAAAAAAGAGGAAAUCCAACAAUAUGUAUUCUACUUUUCACAUGCUCAUGUAGCAAUCAAUCUUUGCAAACAGUGUCAUAAUUUGAUUCAGAAGACCAACUAGAACAUUUUGACGAUGACUUUUUUUUUUAUAAUAUAUAUAUGUGUUUGUGUGAUCAUUAGCAUGAUUGAAUGUGAUUUUGCAGCUACAUAGAUUGCAUCUCUGUAUGAACUGCAUCUGUGCUGGCCUCUUAUUUCUUUAAAUGGUGUAUUGAGUGAUACAUGAUGUAAUGCAUGACAAGGUUAAAUGAUACUACAUUCUUGUAUGAUCAUAUGAUGUUUCUGCUGUUCUGCAUAUAUGCCAGUAGGUUUUAGCCUUCCGAGUGGGUUGCUAGUGUUUGUAUGGAGUUACUCUCAGUUACUAGAUUCUUGAGCUUCUCAGCAUAUUGGACUAAAGGUCUAAAAGAAUCUUUUUGACUUGCAUCACGUGUUGUUUCAAAUAAUUGAGUUAUCAGAGGUAUGAUAGUUAUAAUUAUAACAUUUGCUAUGGUUUUGUGCUCGUAAGAAGUCUGAUGAUUUGGAUCUAUAUUGGGGAAGACCAUUUGAGCCAUUAGGUGAUUUCUUAUAUAAUAUUAGGUUAUAUAACAGCUGAUCCUAAGUGGCUGUAGUUAUAAGCUGUGGAAUAAUUUAUAGUGAGGCAACAAAAGAAAAUAACUAGCGAGGGUGCUGAUGGUAAGCUUGGAAUAUUUCCAGAAGUCUGAAGGUAAUCAGUGAAUUCCUCUGUCGAACUUGCCUGCAGAGAGCUGGUAGGGUCAUUUCCUCAUUGGGGCAGAUUUGUCAAAGAUAAGGAUCCUUCAGCAGAAAAAUCCGUAUUUUAAGUAGUAAUGGUCAGGAGUUUUGCAAUUAAGAAGCACGUUAGGUUCAUGCGGAGGAAGCUGCUGAAUGGAAUGAUCCUGUUGGCCUGUUGCCUUUCACAUUAGUGUUAUAUAAAGCCCCUAACUGAAUAAGUUCUUUAGCAUAUGGUGCUUUUCUGGAAUAUAGUUGGCAGCGAUGAUUUUAGAAUUAACUAACUGGACAGUAAUGAACUGAGUACUUUCUUAUCUUGGAUACUUCUUUAUUGAGCAAUGAAUUUGCUUUGGUGUACCGAAACUAUUAUUUUACAUGCUUGUGUAAUUUGACAAACAACGAAAUGCAGAAUACUUUAUUCCUCAAUCGGGUGCAAUGCAUCAAAUUUUGUCUCCCUGUGAUUCUCUUGUAGUUGCAGUUUGACCCUGACAAUGAGCUGGUUUGUAUUUUCAAGCAGAUUUAUCUAACCCUUUGUGCAACAGUUUCAUUGUGAACUUCCAUGAUGGAAAUAUGGCAGUAUUUUGGCUUGUCAAGGUCCUGUGGUGAUAAAAGUUGAUGCUGAAAAUGUUUUGGUGCUUUAGUUAAGGCUUUAGAUGCAAUCCCUCGUUGAGCUACAUGAUAUACCAAUUCUCCUGUAUUAAAUCCUGCUCGAAAUGGAGGAUUGAAUUGCGUCCUUGAGUUUCUCAUAUUCCAUAGUUUGUCGAUUAUCUUGUUGCAGUUGUUAUGCAGACUGAAGGAUUUAACUACUUGGAGGAGACGUGCCCCUCGCUACUUUCAGACCUGUUGGCAACUGUCGCUGAGGCAGAUGAUGAGCCCAGUCUGAUCUGCCGGAAGAGGAGCAGCAGCAGCAACAUAGGGCUUAAUUUAGCUGACAGUGUUG
rnacentral:lncRNA from 1 species